AGGAAACACAUGGCUUUCUUCUUACAGCUUCAAACUCCGUCUUGCCAGCUGUGUUGAUUUCCCUCGGCGUGGCACUAAUGAAAGGAGACUUUGAUGAGCUGUGUGAAUGGUCACUCCAGAGGGAGGCAUGCAGAAAGACGCGGCUUUCUGGAAGGUUGUGGAUGAAGAAUGAAGGGAGCAGGACUGAGGAUGCAGGGAUCGCAGCCAGCCAACCACAGCAGGCAGCAUUAAACAAGGGGCCUCAUUUUUGCCUGAAGAGCGUAAUGAUGAGAAUUAUUUCGUCUUCAACAGAGAUUUUCCUACUUGGUUACCACGCAAUGUAAUACCUUGGAGUUGAAAAAUGAUACUCUCCUCUCCAAGAAAUGGAAGAGAGGGGAGAAGGCGCAGUCAUUCUGAGCUUCACUCUAAAGCAAUUAUGAGC